CCACUCAGUAUCUGCCAAUAGUCAUCAGAAAAACUAUCAUCUGUUUCUACUGCCAUUUAUUAUUUGCUUCAGAUUAAUGUUAAAUCCUUCAGAUAUACUUGAUCUCCAAAUUACAUCUAGUUGAAGUCAUAAAGAAUAUUAUUACUACAUGGUCCCCAGUGCUAGAAGUAUCUAAUAUAUAAACAAGACUGUGGGAGUGGUGGGAACUCUUCUUCCAGCCUUUCUGCUUGUUGGAAAGAGAAACCAUCUUUUUCUCCCAAUCCUUUAAUUGUUAUCCUAUACAUGACAUACCUCACAACUGUCCAAG